UACAGAGGGUGCAAGCGUUGUUCGGAAUUAUUGGGCGUAAAGCGCGUGUAGGCGGCAGUGCAAGUCGGGUGUGAAAGCCCUCAGCUCAACUGAGGAAGUGCGCCCGAAACUGCAUUGCUUGAGUACCGGAGAGGAUGGCGGAAUUCCCGAAGUAGAGGUGAAAUUCGUAGAUAUCGGGAGGAACACCGGUGGCGAAGGCGGCCAUCUGGACGGAUACUGACGCUGAGACGCGAAAAGCGUGGGUAGCAAACAGG
rnacentral:rRNA from 1 species